UACGUAGGGUGCGAGCGUUGUCCGGAAUUAUUGGGCGUAAAGAGCUCGUAGGCGGUGCGUCGCGUCGGCCGUGAAAACCUGCAGCUUAACUGUGGGCGUGCGGUCGAUACGGGCAUCACUGGAGUUCGGCAGGGGAGACUGGAAUUCCUGGUGUAGCGGUGAAAUGCGCAGAUAUCAGGAGGAACACCGGUGGCGAAGGCGGGUCUCUGGGCAUGAUCUGACGCUGAGGAGCGAAAGUGUGGGGAGCGAACAGG
rnacentral:rRNA from 1 species